AGGCUGACGAGUCCCAAAUAGGACGAAACGCGCGUCCUGGAU
rnacentral:hammerhead_ribozyme from 1 species